ACCCGCUGAACUUAAGCAUAUCAAUAAGCGGAGGAAAAGAAACUAACAAGGAUUCCCCUAGUAACUGCGAGUGAAGCGGGAAAAGCUCAAAUUUGAAAUCUGGCGGUUCUUGACCGUCCGAGUUGUAAUCUAGAGAAGUGUUACCUGUGCUGGACCGUGUACAAGUCUUCUGGAAUGGAGCAUCAUAGAGGGUGAGAAUCCCGUCUUUGACACGGACUACCUGUACAUUGUGGUGCGCUCUCGAAGAGUCGAGUUGUUUGGGAAUGCAGCUCAAAAUGGGUGGUAAAUGCCAUCUAAAGCUAAAUAUUGGCGAGAGACCGAUAGCGAACAAGUACCGUGAGGGAAAGAUGAAAAGAACUUUGGAAAGAGAGUUAAACAGUACGUGAAAUUGCUGAAAGGGAAACGCUUGAAGUCAGUCGCGUCGGCUAGAAAUCAACCUUGCUUUUGCUUGGUGUAUUUUCUGGUCUUUGACGGGUCAGCAUCAAUUUUGACCGCUGGAUAAAGUCUUUGGGAAUGUGGCAUCUUAGGAUGUGUUAUAGCCCAUUGUCGCAUACUGCGGUUGGGAUUGAGGAACUCAGCACGCCGCAAGGCCAGGUUUCGACCAUGUUUUGUGCUUAGGAUGCUGGCAUAAUGGCUUUAAUCGACCCGUCUUGAAACACGGACCAAGGAGUCUAACAUGCCUGCGAGUGUUUGGGUGGAAAACCCAUUCGCGCAAUGAAAGUGAAAGUUGAGAUCCCCUUCAAACAGGGAGCAUUGACGCCCGGACCAGACCUUUUGUGACGGAUCCGCGGUAGAGCAUGUAUGUUGGGACCCGAAAGAUGGUGAACUAUGCCUGAAUAGGGUGAAGCCAGAGAAACUCUGGAGGCUCGUAGCGAUUCUGACGUGCAAAUCGAUCGUCAAAUUUGGGUAUAGGGGCGAAAGACUAAUCGAACCAUCUAGUAGCUGGUUCCUGCCGAAGUUUCCCUCAGGA
rnacentral:rRNA from 1 species